UUUUGAGAAUCGAUUUCAAUACAGCAGUAUGCAAUCGACACUAGAUGUUUCAGACAUUUAGCUUCAAACAGGGUAGUGAUUUUCUGCAUGAACAGGAUUCGUGUAAUCAGUUUCAUCGUGGUGCCAGUACCUUCUACCAAUCUGAUUUCGUAGCCCAUUGCCAGACUGAAUAAAAGGAAGAAAAAAACUUGCGCGGAUCUCAGGACUUCCUCUUUCCUCUUCAACAUUUCAAGAAGCUCGAGCCAAGCGUGUUCGAGCAAACGGGAUUCAACUGUUUCGUGCUAAUACGACGAAAAGACGUGCACCAGGGAGCAAAACUGCCGCUAGCAGCAGUCGCCUCGUGUCAUAGACAGUUAUAGCCGUAAUAGCGUGAGCGACGACGAAGAUGUCUCAGUCCCGCCCGCCUCCGCCGUUGCAAUCUGACAUUUCACCUCCGGCCCAUGAUAGAACGAAUCGAAGCCAGACCUGCACAACGCCGGAUGCCAACAUGGGUCCGAGCGAAGAAGAUCUUCCCUCCAACAUGGAGCCUCAAACUGUAAAUCCAGAUUCAGUUCCAAAAUGGCUUCCACAACCAAGGAAUCUCAGAUCAAUAGACAAAAUAAAGACACGAGCCACAGGAUCAGAAAAGAAAACACCAGCUGUUCCCGUGCCAAUUUCUGGAGCAACAGUGGUAUAUCCAACAACAAUUACUGGCCCCUUCCCGUCAACAGUGACCUCAGAUACCACACAAGCAGGGUCUUCUCUCCCGCCUCCAAAUUUAAGAAAAUAAAUUGUUAGUACUUCUUUUACAACAAUGAACUCAGACUCAACACUUUUAUUUCUGAUUUUAGGUUAUUAAAUUAAAUUGAAUAUAUAUUUUACAUUCGACUCUUAUUGUGUAAUUGGAGCUUAGUAUUAAUGUCCUGACUAUAUGUUUUCUCUGGUUAUAUCUUUUUAGAAUUUUUUGGUUCAGAAAAGGUUUAAAUGAACUGUGUCUAUAAAGCUCUACUUAACGUUAGACAAUUAGACCAAAUGGCGACGGUUUAAAGUCAAUGCUACAAAUGAAGUUUAAGCUAUACCGAUUGAUAUAAGAUACACUGAUCUAUUUUCAAUAGGAAUUGAUUUAACUAUUAAUAAACACACAGGUAGUUAUACUCAACAAUAUACGUGGAAAUAAAGGUGAAUCAUUUAAAUCAUAUUUGUUGUGUUUUAAAAUGCUGUAUGUUCCCCUGGUAUGGUUGGAUAAUUAGAAUAUAAGCAGGAUUUCUUGGUGGUUUUAAAAACGACAUUAUGGGAAAAACACAUUCUAAAACAGAGAAGAAGAAAGAUGGACAAUCAUGCAAUGGCACCGAUCGUACGUCAUCAGUAUCAAAGGGUGGAAGUGCCUCACCAUACAACUCAGAAUCGGGACCUGACCGAGUUCCAGACGACAAUUUGCCACAAGAGGUAAUAGUCCCCGGACCAUCUCCAUCAGAACUUGACCUACCAAAACCAAACCUAGGAAGACAUAAGACCUAAUAAAAAAACAACUUGUUUUUAGUUUCAGCAUGGACUGUUAUAAAACUUUUUCUAAGCCACAUUAAGUGUAGUGGUGUUGUUGUUGUUUUUCAUUUUUAUAUGACUUCAAUUAUUAAAUAUAAAGGAUACCUUUGUAAGCAUAUACAUCCAUAUAUAUGUAUGUUAUUUGGUUAAUUUUCGCGGGGUUGGCAACGUUUUAUAAAAAAAAUUAUUAUAUACCCAUCAUAAAUCCACACGCAAUACAUAUCGAAAAAUA